GCCGGGAUGGAAUAGUGGUUUGAGUGCUGGAUUAUAACUCUGGAGAACAGGGUUCAAAUCCCAGAUCAGCCA